rnacentral:tRNA from 1 species
GACUUUGUGGCCCAAUGGAUAAGGCGCUGGUCGACGAAACCAGAGCUUCUGGGUUCGAUCCCCAGUGGAGUCG